GAUUGCAUUUUCAAGGAAUUUAAACAAAAAAAAAAUCAUGUAAUGAUAAUAUGAUACUCCACUAAUUAUAAUUCAAAUUGAGGAGUAUGCCUAUAGUUUUGAUUUAGAAAGAUUGAGCCAUCUCUACCCAAAAAAGGAGGAAACUAGGUCUUGAUCACCCCCAGAACCAAGGGUUGAAGUGAGACUGGGUGCAUUACAUUACCAAUAUGAAGACUAUGUUCACCCAUUGGAAUCCUUCGAAUCCCAGACCUAUCCACAACACUCAGGUACUUGCACACAUGUAUGUUAAUUUUUACUCUUUGCUGUGUCCCUGCAGCGACAUGAACCUUCUCAAAGGCUACCAAUUGCUUGUGUGGAACCCAAUGUCCUGCCGGUGGUUUAGAGUAGACCAGCAAUGUGUCAGUUCCAUCCUUGGAGCCAACAUUUUUCACGUCUACUUCAAUUCCUAAUGAAAGCCUGUUACAUCUUGUAUGUGUGACUCUAAUUGCCUUCCCUGAGAUGGUUGUGUUUCCAGAGCCACGGCGAUGUCCAUCGACAGGUACUGAAAUCAUGGUGGGUGCACUAGCUAUUGUGUGAACAAAUAUUGUAUAGCUCAAUCCAUGUCCAAAUGGGUACACCACUUUACCUUUAUAGAAUCUAUAGGUUCUGCCAGGAUACCCCUUUGAUCGGCUUGAUCUCAUGGCCAUCUCUGUCAUUGGCAGAUUUGUGAUGUAAUCUUGUGGGUACCACGUCAUAGGCAGCUUGCCUCCUGGGUUUGUUGUUCCAAACAGGACAUCCGCGAUCGCAGCUCCACCGGAUUGGCCAGGAUAACCAGCCCAUAAUAUGGCAGAGAUUUUGGGAUCAUUCAUAGCGAAAGACACAUCAAUGGGCCCACCAGACAUCAAGACCAAAAUGGUUGGACCUUUAGAAGCCAUUGCAACCUUAGAUACAAGCUCCUGUUGGCGUCCUGGGAGAAGAAGCCCAGCCCGAUCUCUGAACUCUGCCUCCAUGGACUGGUCAAGCCCCAUCACUAGAAUUGUUGCGUCGGCUUGGCUUGCAGCGUUAAUAGCUCCACCAAAUAGCUGGUCACUUACGCAGCUCACAUCUGCACAACCCUGCUGGUAAAUUGUCCUGGCAUAGCUUCCCAUUCCUUGAAGAGGCGUAAUAUAUCCACAAGCAACGCCAGCAUAAUUCCCAAUCAUAGUAACAGUGACAUUAGCAUUAGGCCCAAUGAUGGCAAUGGUGCGAUAACGGCGAGUGGACAAUGGCAAUGUAGGACCAUGAUUAUUCAAAAGAACAAUGCCUUGUCUAGCUGCUUCAAGGGCUAGCCCUUGGUGAGCCGGGGUGCAAACGUGUUUUGGACCAAGGUUCCCAUAUGGCUGCACUGAUGGCUCACCAUCAAACAUCCCCAGCCUCAUCUGGACAGUUAGCGUAUUAGACAAAGCACCAUUUAUGUCAGCCUCACUUACAAGGCCUCUUUUAACUGCAUCCUCAGUGUGUAUCCCAAGGAAUGGACCACAGUCCAAAUCCAAACCUGCUUUGAUGGCAUCAGCAGCAGCCUCUUCAGGAGUUGAUGUAUAAUGUUGCUUAUCAUAAUAAACGCCAACGGAAUCACAAUCUGAAACGAUGUACCCAUUGAGGGCCCAUUCAUUGCGCACUGUCCUCCGCAAGAGAUUAGGAUCAGCACAAGUUGGGAUGCCAUUUACUUGGUUAUAGGAGCACAUCACACUCGCCACCUUUCCUUCCUUCACACACAUCCUGAAUGGUACAUCAAAUGUGUCCUCAAUGUCCUGCUUGCUUACCUUAGCAUUAAAGUGGAACCGAUCCACUCCAUUCCAAUUAUCGAGGUCGUAGGCUGUGAAGUGCUUACAACAAGCAGCAACCUUCAACCGUUCACCGUCGUUUCCUUGUAGACCUCUAACAUAGUUGGCUGCAUAUGUACCGACUACUAAAGGAUCUUCUCCGGGAGUCUCCUGUCCUCGGCCCCACCUUGGGUCUCUGAAAAUGUUGACGUUUGGGCUCCAAUACGUGAGCCCACCCAUUCCACCGUUGUACAUUGCUCUUGCUUCAUCUGACACAACCCGUCCAAUUGCCUCCCACAGUGUAGUAUUAAAAGAAGCAGCGGUAGUGAUCACUUGAGGGAAGCUAGUGGCCCCA
rnacentral:misc_RNA from 1 species